ACAAGGCCACCAUUAUACUGCUUGGCUUCCCCCUCAGAUUUCUUUCUGUCUCUUGGCUGUUUCCAGAGGCUAGGUAAGGACCAGAGAGCCUUGGGGAGUGGAGAGGGGAGUCCCAAAUCCCUCCUUUUAGCAGUUGCUGAUUAUUGAAUCUGGGAAAUUGGGACGGGAGAGAGAAAUUCAGAAGAAGGCUCUGAGCGGGGAGGCUGUCUCCCCCUCAUUUGCGUGCCAGUGUGGAGGAUUGAGAAAGGCCCCGAGUGUGUGCCUGUGAAAUUUUACGGAUGUCCAAGUCCUUGGCUAGACUGUGACGUUAGUGAUGCACCAGGACCUGGCCGCUCAUCCUCCCGUGUACCCACUUCAGUGCCCGAUGCCCCUUACUUGCUUAGCGAAGCUUGUAUGGAAUAGCCAGAGAAGCAGAUGCGUGACUCUGAAGGGAGGCACCACUCCAAACGCUAUUUUAAGUUUGGAACCUAGCGUUCUCAAAUUUUUUUGUGCUGCUCAUCAGUUCUUGUCACCUGUGGAUGGCUGACUCAAGGGGUACCACAAAACCAUAAAACCAUUAAAUUGCAAGACCACAAAA